rnacentral:lncRNA from 1 species
AGACUUUUUUUUCUUUUCUUUUUUUUAUUUUUUUCAUUUCCUCUUUAAUUAAGCUCUGCGGCAUGCUGCUUUACUUACAAGGCCCCAAGAUAUAUGGACAUUGCUUCAAACAAACCAUUGGAGAGAAGAGCAUUAAAGAUAGCCCUCUCUACUGCUAAUUUAAGUGGCCCAAAGCCACAGUUGCAGAGCAAUAGGGCACUUGGUAAAAAACACGCUGGCAGCAUACAUGGUACUGUAGGCUGUUUGGUUAUGAAUGGCUCUGUCAAGCUAGUAAGAGACAGGAAGAGUUGGUUGAAAUGGGUGAAAAAAUCUGCUGAGACACAUGAAGUGACUACGUUGAUACCAUUUCCUUGGAAGACCAGGCUAAGCGACAUGGAGGAAAUCACUAUUUUAAUCCUUGCUUUUCUGGGACUAUUGGAAGGUGAGAGGGUGAGCAAAGGAGGUGUGCCUGAGGAUACACACUAAAUCCAUACAAAAAUGAAAACUGUGGUCUCCUCACAAGAAUUUUGUAAGUCAGAAGGACCAAAGUCAAAUACAUCAUUUAUUGCAAAUUCUUCUUUCUGCAUGAAUGACUGUGUCCAUUUUCUGGAUACAGAGACAGAACAGAGAGGAGAAAAUGAAGUGCCUGUCUCACCCUGUGAGCACGCAGCUGACAUGAUGAUGAAAUUUCACUUUCUGUUCCGUGAUUGUCCACCUUAAUCACAGGCCCAUACACCCCAGCUUCAUUGAGAAGCUGAUUGCUCAUGAAUGUCACCCAGCCCCAAGUCUCCUACAGCACAUAUCACAUGUGCUUAUUUAGAUAAACAAAUAUUGCUGAGAGCAGCACAAUGAAGGAAAUCUCAUUUGCACAGCUUUGUGACUCGUGGCUGAGCCUGCUGGUGUCUCGGAAAGGACUUGUUUAUCUAGCAGCAUUUUUGCCAUUGAGGAUACCC